rnacentral:rRNA from 1 species
UACAGAGGUCUCAAGCGUUGUUCGGAUUCAUUGGGCGUAAAGGGUGCGUAGGUGGCGCUGUAAGUCGGGUGUGAAAUUUCGGAGCUUAACUCCGAAACUGCAUUCGAUACUGCGGUGCUUUGAGGACUGGAGAGGAGACUGGAAUUCAUGGUGUAGCAGUGAAAUGCGUAGAGAUGUGGAGGAAUACCGAUGGCGAAGGCAGCCGUCCCUGGGCCAACACUGACGCUCAUGCACGAAAGCGUGGGGAGCAAACAGG